rnacentral:rRNA from 1 species
CCUUUAGAUGUUCUGGGCCGCACACGCGCUACACUGAAGGAGGCAGCGUGUACUCCUGGAUCGAAAGAUUUGGGUAACCCGCGAAUCUCCUUCGUGCUAGGGAUUGAGGUUUGCAAUUAUCCUUCAUGAACGAGGAAUUCCCAGUAAGUGCAAGUCAUAAGCUUGCGCUGACUACGUCCCUGCCCUUUGUACACACCGUCCGUCGCUACUACCGAUUGAAUGAUUUAGUGAGGACUUCGGACUGGGACCGAUGCGGCUUUCGGGCUGCGUCGGUAUUCUGGAAAGAUGUCCAAACUGUAUCAUUUAGAGGAAGUAAAAGUCGUAACA